rnacentral:tRNA from 1 species
GCCCUCGUAGUCCAAUCAGGUAGAGGCGCUUCGUUGAGGACGAAGAUGGUGCAGGUUCGAAUCCUGUCGGGGGCA